rnacentral:rRNA from 1 species
ACGGCAGCACGGGUGCUUGCACCUGGUGGCGAGUGGCGAACGGGUGAGUAAUGCGUCGGAACGUACCGAGUAGUGGGGGAUAACGCAGCGAAAGUUGUGCUAAUACCGCAUAUUCUGUGAGCAGGAAAGCGGGGGAUCUUCGGACCUCGCGCUAUUCGAGCGGCCGACGUCUGAUUAGCUAGUUGGUGGGGUAAUGGCUCACCAAGGCGACGAUCAGUAGCGGGUCUGAGAGGAUGAUCCGCCACACUGGGACUGAGACACGGCCCAGACUCCUACGGGAGGCAGCAGUGGGGAAUUUUGGACAAUGGGCGAAAGCCUGAUCCAGCCAUGCCGCGUGUCUGAAGAAGGCCUUCGGGUUGUAAAGGACUUUUGUCAGGGAGGAAAUCCCCAGGGCUAAUACCCUUGGGGGAUGACAGUACCUGAAGAAUAAGCACCGGCUAACUACGUGCCAGCAGCCGCGGUAAUACGUAGGGUGCAAGCGUUAAUCGGAAUUACUGGGCGUAAAGCGUGCGCAGGCGGUUGGUUAAGCAAGAUGUGAAAGCCCCGGGCUCAACCUGGGAACUGCGUUUUGAACUGGCCAGCUAGAGUACGUCAGAGGGGGGUGGAAUUCCGCGUGUAGCAGUGAAAUGCGUA